CAACAGGGAUUGCCUUAGUAACGGCGAGUGAAGCGGCAAAAGCUCAAAUUUGAAAUCGGCCACCAGGUCGAGUUGUAAUUUGUAGAUUGUAUCUUGAGAGCGGAUUAAAGUCUGUUGGAACACAGCGCCUUAGAGGGUGACAGCCCCGUAAAAUCUAUUCUCAUUGUAAGAUACUUUCGAAGAGUCGAGUUGUUUGGGAAUGCAGCUCUAAGUGGGAGGUAAAUUCCUUCUAAAGCUAAAUAUUGACGAGAGACCGAUAGCGAACAAGUACUGUGAAGGAAAGAUGAAAAGCACUUUGAAAAGAGAGUGAAAAAGUACGUGAAAUUGUUAAAAGGGAAGGGUAUUGAAUCAGACUUGGUGCUGUUGUUCAACUGUGUUUCGGCAUAGUGUACUCAGCAGUACUAGGCCAAGGUGGGGUGUUUGGGAGUGAAAAAGAAGUWGGAASGUAACUCUUCGGAGUGUUAUAGCCUACUUUCAUAGCUCCUCAGGCGCCUCAGGACUGCGCUUCGGCAAGGACCUUGGCAUAAUGAUUCUAUACCGCCCGUCUUGAAACACGGACCAAGGAGUCUAACGUCUAUGCGAGUGUUUGGGUGUAAAACCCGUACGCGUAAUGAAAGUGAACGUAGAUAGGAGCAGUAAUGCGCACUAUCGACCGAUCCUGAAGUUUUCAGAUGGAUUUGAGUAAGAGCAUAGCUGUUGGGACCCGAAAGAUGGUGAACUAUGCCUGAAUAGGGUGAAGCCAGAGGAAACUCUGGUGGAGGCUCGUAGCGGUUCUGACGUGCAAAUCGAUCGUCGAAUUUGGGUAUAGGGGCGAAAGACUAAUCGAACCAUCUAGUAGCUGGUUCCUGC
rnacentral:rRNA from 1 species